AUUGAACGCUGGCGGCAUGCCUUACACAUGCAAGUCGAACGGCAGCACGGGUGCUUGCACCUGGCGGCGAGUGGCGAAAGGGGGAGGAAUACAUCGGAACGUACCUUAUCGUGGGGGAUAACGCAGCGAAAGCUGGGCUAAUACCGUAAACGCCCUGAGGGGGAACGCGGGGGACCGAACUACCUCGCGAGAUUAGGGCGGCCAAUGCCUGAUUAGCUUGUGGGUGGGGUAAAGGCCCACAAAGGCGACGAUCAGUAGCUGGUCUGAGAGGACGAUCAGCCACACUGGGACUGAGACACGGCCCAGACUCCUACGGGAGGCAGCAGUGGGGAAUUUUGGACAAUGGGGGCAAGCCUGAUCCAGCAAUGCCGCGUGAGUGAAGAAGGCCUUCGGGUUGUAAAGCUCUUUUGUCAGGGAAGAAACACCGGCUCUAACACAGUCCGGGAAUGACGGUACCUGAAGAAUAAGCACCGGCUAACUACGUGCCAGCCGCCGCAGUAA
rnacentral:rRNA from 1 species